AUUGAACGCUGGCGGCAUGCCUUACACAUGCAAGUCGAACGGCAGCACGGGUGCUUGCACCUGGUGGCGAGUGGCGAACGGGUGAGUAAUACAUCGGAACAUGUCCUGUAGUGGGGGAUAGCCCGGCGAAAGCCGGAUUAAUACCGCAUACGAUCUACGGAUGAAAGCGGGGGACCUUCGGGCCUCGCGCUAUAGGGUUGGCCGAUGGCUGAUUAGCUAGUUGGUGGGGUAAAGGCCUACCAAGGCGACGAUCAGUAGCUGGUCUGAGAGGACGACCAGCCACACUGGGACUGAGACACGGCCCAGACUCCUACGGGGGGCAGCAGUGGGGAAUUUUGGACAAUGGGCGAAAGCCUGAUCCAGCAAUGCCGCGUGUGUGAAGAAGGCCUUCGGGUUGUAAAGCACUUUUGUCCGGAAAGAAAUCCUUGGCCCUAAUACGGUCGGGGGAUGACGGUACCGGAAGAAUAAGCACCGGCUAACUACGUG
rnacentral:rRNA from 1 species